rnacentral:sRNA from 1 species
AGAGCGAGAGGGUGUUAGGAGCAGCCCAGUUGUUUCUCUCUCUCUACCUCUGUGAAGGGCGCGAAUGGGCAGAGCAGAACUUCUAGAAGGGAAGAUGGGCACCCAGGAUCCCUCAGAUCUGUGGAGCAGAUCCGAUGGAGAGGCUGAGCUGCUCCAGGACUUGGGGUGGUAUCACGGCAACCUCACGCGCCAUGCUGCCGAAGCUCUUCUUCUCUCAAAUGGGUGUGACGGCAGCUACCUUCUGAGGGACAGCAAUGAGACCACUGGGCUGUACUCUCUCUCUGUGAGGGCCAAAGAUUCUGUUAAACACUUUCAUGUUGAAUAUACUGGAUAUUCAUUUAAAUUUGGCUUUAAUGAAUUCUCAUCUUUGAAGGAUUUUGUCAAGCAUUUUGCAAAUCAGCCUUUGAUUGGAAGCGAGACAGCUGGGCACCAAAGAAGGUUACCUCACCAAACAGGGAGGCCUGGUCAAGACCUGGAAAACAAGGUGGUUUACUCUGCACAGGAAUGAACUGAAAUACUUCAAAGACCAGAUGUCACCAGAACCAAUUCGGAUCCUAGACCUAACAGAAUGUUCAGCUGUACAAUUUGAUUAUUCACAAGAAAGGGUAAACUGUUUUUGGUAAGUUGUUUUAUAAAGAAAACGUUUUUUAAUGUCUUCUUGCCAGACACUUAUUUUGGCUAAGGAAUAGAAAGCUGUAUAUCUUAAUGUCUACAAAGUUCAGAUCUGAGGGGGCAUGCCUGCAUGUAACAGUAUUUUCAGCUGAGUGUGACAUAACACCUCAUUUAAAGUAGCUUAAACAAACAGGCAGGUCAGCUCAGCUUAUGUUGCGUACUGGAGAAGUAUAACUCACAUAGAGGAUGCCAUUCACAUCUUAGACAAUUUAAUUUCUUUGAGGCUUUCUACCUCAUUUUAUUUAUGACUUUGUUGACUCUAAUAAUAGGUGAUUUGUAUUGUUAUGACAAUUUCUGGCAGAUGGCACAAAAAUAUUUUGUUCUAACAUAAUCAGCAUGUUAUAAAAAUGUUCUAACUGGGAGAAGAGUCUUGAGAAA